AUGCGUCGUGGCCUGCGGCGCCGCCGCCGCCAAGGACCACCUCUUCAAGGGUCGCAGGAGCAGCCGGGCCUGGUCACCAUCGCCAUGGAGGAGAUCCUCGGCUUCGCGGCGUCCGUCGGCGGCGCCGUCAGGGUGUCGUCGUACCAGGUGGUGCAGGACACCCACGUCUUUGAUCUGCUGGAGCCCAAGGAGCAGGAGGUCCUGGUGCUGGAGGAUGCCCAGGGCAAGACCCACCUCAAGGGCCUCUCCAAGGUGCAUGUCAAGUCGAUCGAGGAUUUCUCGCGGCUGGGUUGUUUCGAUGAGAGCCAGGAGAAGCAGCAGCCCACCAAAGCUUCUUCUUCUGCCCAGCAGCAGCCCACUAAACCCUUUUCCACCCAGCCGCAACCCGCUAAAGCUUCUUCUGCCCAGCUACAGACCAGAGGGCACCAAGGCCUCAUCAUCCACAUAUCUACCUCCGACCAGGACGGCAAAGAGCGUGCUGUGGCCAAGAUCAACUUCCUCAGCCUCUCAGACUAUGUGGACCCCAAGCAGAAGGCCGGCGGUGGAGCGGCCGCUCUGUCGAGCAGCAACAACAAGUCCUUGUACACCUUGAUGAAUGUCGUGCAAGCGCUCAACAGCAACCAGAGCUUCGUGCCGUACAGGCAGAGCAAAGUUACCCGUAUUCUGCAGGACUCUUUGUGCAAGACGAGCGGGGCCGUGGUGAUCGCCUGCUUGGAAGAAGUUUCCUGCCAAGAUGCGGUUUCUACUCUCAGCUUGGCCGCUCGCUCGAGUCAAGUGGCCACUCAAGCGGCUAACGAACAAUGCCGCAGAUCCGUGAGCGUUACAAGUUUCAAAAGGGCAGAUGUUAACUUGUCAGCAGUUGCUAAAAGCUCCUCAAGGCCAAUUCUUUCUUCUACACACCAACCGAAUCCCGUGGUAGAGAAGCAGCAGGAUCGGCCCCAAUGGAAUAUGAGCGCAGUAAAAGCAUCUCGAACUCCCAUUGCCAACAAGAGGUCUCAACCAACCAUGCAUCCAGCGAAGAAAUCUGAAAACUCGCUCCCUACUCCUAUCAAAAUUACCCAAAAGGCUGCUACACCCACAAUGAGUGGAAGGUCUCAACCAACCAUGCAUUCAGCAAAAAACCCUGAAAGCUCGCUGUCUACUCCUAUCAAAAUGCCUUCAAAGGAUGCUAAGCCCACAAUGAGUGGAAGGUCUCAACCUGAAAUCACGGUCUCUCCUCCAACCAAAAUGAAGCAAAAGGAUGCCAAACCCGCAAUGAGUGGAAGGUCUCAAGUAAUGAUGCGCCCAGCAAAGAAAACUGAAAGCUUGCUUUCUGCUUCUAUCAAACCGAAGCAAAAGGAUGCUAAACCUACUGCAACGAGUGGAAGUGCCGUGUUAUGCCCAAGCACCAAUUCAGCAAAGGAAGAGGCAGCAGUCAUUGCACCAGCAACAGUAGCAGAAGUCGUGGAGGUACAAUCGUCACAAUGCAUGGAAAUCGAUGCUCCAUCUACAGAUGAGGGAUUUGAUAAAACAAGCAAUGCUUUAGAUACUGUGCCAUCUGAAGUACCGAAGGUGGUCUCAGGUGGUGUGGCAAUCGACGCCCCAUCUACAGAUGAGGGACUUGAUAAAACAAGCGAUGCUCUGGAUACCGCAUCAUCUCAAGUACAGAAGGUGGUCUCAAGUGGUAUGGAGGAAGAGGACUAUUCGUCGUCAGGUCUGGAUGCGGCGAGUUCGUGUACCAUUGACCUGGGCGAAACCUGCUCUCCAAACAUUCCUGAUGCCUUUGUCGAGAAGACUCCAGUCAAAACUAAUUUGAGCACCCCAAAGAUCAGCGACAAGCUGAGAGAGAUAUCAAACUCACUGAAGCUUCUUAAUGCUCGUCCAUUGAGCGUAAUGGCACAAAAGGUGGCCAUGGAAAAGACUCAAGAAGAGGGCAUGGAGAAGACACAAAAAGUGGCCAUGGAAAAGACAGAAGAAGUGGCCAUGGAAACAACACAAGAAGCGGCCAUGGAAACGACACAAGAAGAGGGCAUGGAGACGACACAAGGAGUGGCCAUGGAGACAACACAAGAAGAGGGCAUGGAGACGACACAAGAAGUUGCCACUGGAACGACACAGGAAGAGGAGGGCAUGGAGACGACACAAGAAGUUGCCACUGGAAAGACACAGGAAGAGGAGGGCAUGGAGACGACAGAAGAAGUUGCUGUUGAAACAGCACAAGAAGUUGCUGUUGAAAUGACACAAGAAGUGGCCAUUGAAAUGACACAAGAAGUUGCCACUGGAACGACACAAGAAGUGGCCAUUGAAACAACACAAGAAGUGGCUGUUGAAACAACACAAGUGGCCGUUGAAACGGCACAGGAAGUGGCUGUUGAAACAACGCAAGAAGUGUCUGUUGAAACAACGCAAGUAGUGGCUGUUGAAACAGCACAAGAAGUGGUUGUUGAAACAACACAGGAAGUGGCCUCUGAAACGACACAGGAAGUGGCUGUUGAAACAACGCAGGAAGUGGCUGUUAAAACAAAGCAAGAAGUGGCUGUUGAAACAACGCAAGAAGUGGCUGUUCAAACAACGCAAGAAGUGGGCAUGGAAUCUGUCCAGGGUGGGACCAACAUAGAUGCACCUGAACCAAAGACUCCUGCGAUGCACCUCAAGUUUGAGCAAGCAGCAGAUCCAAGGACUCCUGCGAUGCACCUCAAGUUUGAGCAAGCAGCAGAUUAUCCGACUAGCUCAUUCAAGACUCGCAGCACCGGGAUAAAGAAAUCCAUACUCCAGGAGUGCCUGAGUUUUCUCAACAGCGCUAACAAGGAGCAAUUGAAGAGCUUGAAGGGCAUCGGAGAGAAGAGGGCCAACUACAUCAUCGAGCUUCGUGAGCAUUCACCGGAGCUGUUUAAAGGGGUGGAUGAUCUGAGGGAUGUGAUUGGAAUGAACAAGACGGAGAUAAAAAGGAUGAUGUCGGGGAUCAUCGGCAGCCCCUAA
rnacentral:rRNA from 1 species